UACGUAGGGGGCAAGCGUUGUCCGGAUUUAUUGGGCGUAAAGCGCUCGCAGGCGGCUCGAUGCGUCGUGCGUGAAACACCCCGGCUCAACUGGGGAGGGUCGUGCGAUACGGUCGGGCUGGAGGCCAGUAGGGGGAUGCGGAAUUCCGGGUGUAGCGGUGAAAUGCGUAGAUAUCUGGAGGAACACCGGUGGCGAAGGCGGCGUCCUGGACCAACACUGACACUGAUGAGCGAAAGCCAGGGGAGCAAACGGG
rnacentral:rRNA from 1 species